rnacentral:rRNA from 1 species
AACGAACGCUGGCGGCAUGCCUAACACAUGCAAGUCGAACGAUACCUUCGGGUCUAGUGGCGCACGGGUGCGUAACGCGUGGGAACCUGCCCUUAGGUUCGGAAUAACUCCCCGAAAGGGGUGCUAAUACCGGAUAAUGUCUUCGGACCAAAGAUUUAUCGCCUUUGGAUGGGCCCGCGUUGGAUUAGCUAGUUGGUAGGGUAAAAGCCUACCAAGGCGACGAUCCAUAGCUGGGCUGAGAGGAUGACCAGCCACACUGGGACUGAGACACGGCCCAGACUCCUACGGGAGGCAGCAGUGGGGAAUAUUGGACAAUGGGCGAAAGCCUGAUCCAGCCAUGCCGCGUGAGUGAUGAAGGCCUUAGGGUUGUAAAGCUCUUUUACCCGGGAUGAUAAUGACAGUACCGGGAGAAUAAGCUCCGGCUAACUCCGUG